UGAAGCGUAUGUAACCCGAGGUACCACUGUACUACAUUGCCACUCUUCGUGGGUGCAUGGAUUAGGGAUGUGCAAGUAUGUCAAUGUUGGUUUAUCUUGGUUUCUCAUUUUUGCAACCUUAAACUUAAGUUCUCCAGAUUUCCACAUCAGCUUUGUGAAUUUUCUAAAAAUAAAAGUUCUCAAGAAAAUCUAUUCACAUUUUAGCACACAUUUCUCCCAAUAUACACAUAUCUCUAUGCAAUUUUGCCUAACCUACAUAUUUCCACAAAGCUAUUUUCCCUAACGUAAUGCAUUUUUUGUAUGCUAUUUUUAUUUGUGGACACAUUUUAAUGCACACUUUACCCCAGGACGUGCAUUUUUGGCUGGAGAAAACUGGAUUGCAAAAUUUGGAACUUUGCUGAUUUUAAAGAAUUUGUGAGUUUCAGUUCAUUGAAUCUUUCUGGAAGGUGCAGAGUAGGUAAUUCACCCUUAAAUGUGCAUUGAAUUGAAUUUCUCCCUCCAUCCGUUGCUUGGAUAAAACACCGAAGGAAAGAGAGAAUGAAAACAAUGGUACAAUUCUUUUGUGACUUCAUUGGACCCUUUUUGAUUUUACCUCCCCCUCCACCUUUUAGUGUUUACCCAACUAUUUUGUUUUUUGCACGCCUGAAAAACAAGUAUGCUGAUGCCUCCCUCUUGUUUGUGGAGCUGUUUUUCAAACUGCAUAAGCAACAGCACACAGAGCCUGGAUGCUGGACCUGGGGAAAAAUUUGGAUGCAGAGAUUUUCAGAAACAUGACUAGCAAAAAAUAAAAUAAAAAUCUUUUGCUGGGUAGCAGAAAAUACGUUGCUGUUAAAUCUAUUUGUCCUCUCCCUCCUGUUUUCCCCUUUUGCCAGUUGGCUCCCACUGGCUUGCAUGCAGUUGUGGGUGCCAUUUGUAGCAACCCAGUUCUGUUGGGAUAACCAGAAAUGUACACACUCCUGAUUCAGUUUAAAUAAAUGCAGGUGAAAAGGGGUGUUGUAUAUGAAGCAUCCAGCAGUUGAUGCUCGAAUGCAGUCACUUUGCCAAAUCUCUCUCUCUCUCUCUCUCUCUCUCUCUCUCUCUCUCUCUGUGUGUGUGUGUGCAGAAUGUCUUUCUAAUAAUAAGGGAGUGCUGGAAAAAGCGGAUGCCACAAUCAGCCUAAAGAGCACAUGGGAAAAUAUGAUUGCAUGUAAUUUUGUGGUGAUGAAAAUAAGAGUGGGGAUUUGGCUGAGGGUGCCCUUGAAAAUAUGGCUUAUCCUCCAUUUUGAGGCAGAAGGUUUGUCCAUCUUUAUGGUGCAUUUUGGUUGGAACUCCUGCAAGGUGGGCCUACAGUGGGGUUUCUGCAGCACUGCUGCCUUCCUGUAGCACUUGGGAGUAAGGAUGUGAGAAGGCACAGUUUCCCCUUUCAUCCUGUAUUUUUCACUGCAGCACUGUUUCUGUUUUGGUGCAGUUCACCUGUCAAAAACUACAUUAUACAUCUUGCCAUCAGCUGUGAAGAUAUGACGUAACUUGCGUAGUGAAUUACGUAAAUUACUUUAUUUCGUUCCAUUCAUUUCACUGGAAAGGAGAUACCGUACAUUCUUGGUGUCUGAUCUUCCCAGUCAUUUUCGCCGUUUCGGCAUAGUCAAAAGAUUUAAAAAAGAAUGGACUAAUUUUGCAGAAUAUCUGAAGGAGUGUUGUAAACAUUUGAAAACAUUAGCAGGCCUACAACAGCACUGGUGAUAUAAUUAGGGUAAAAUUUGUAAUAAGGGAGAUGAAUAAAUUAGAUAAAGAUACGAAGACACAGAAAAGAUAAGAGGUAAUGAUGGGAAACUGGGGAGGAGGGUGGGGGGAAGUCCAGGGGUUGAGAACCUCCAAAAGAUAAUGUUUUGUUGUGUUGAUAUGAAUCUAAAAUGU